CAGGGAUCCCCUAGUAACGGCGAGUGAAGCGGGAACAGCUCAAAUUUGAAAUCUGGCCCUUGGGUCCGAGUUGUAAUUUGUAGAGGAUGCUUUUGGUGCGGUGCCUUCCGAGUUCCCUGGAACGGGACGCCUUAGAGGGUGAGAGCCCCGUACGGUUGGACGCCUAGCCUCUGUAAAGCUCCUUCGACGAGUCGAGUAGUUUGGGAAUGCUGCUCUAAAUGGGAGGUAUAUUUCUUCUAAAGCUAAAUACUGGCCAGAGACCGAUAGCGCACAAGUAGAGUGAUCGAAAGAUGAAAAGCACUUUGAAAAGAGGGUUAAAUAGCACGUGAAAUUGUUGAAAGGGAAGCGUUUAUCACCAGACUUUUUCUGGGGGGAUCAUCCGGUGUUCUCACCGGUGCACUUCCCCCAGUUGAGGCCAGCAUCGGUUUUCGGAGGGGGAUAAAAGUUUCGGGAAUGUGACUCCCUCGGGAGUGUUAUAGCCCGUUACAUAAUACCCUUCUGGGGACCGAGGUUCGCGCAUCUGCAAGGAUGCUGGCAUAAUGGUGAUCAACGACCCGUCUUGAAACACGGACCAAGGAGUCGAACAUUUAUGCGAGUGUUUGGGUGUUAAACCCUCACGCGUAAUGAAAGUGAACGGAGGUGAGAGCCCUUACGGGUGCAUCAUCGACCGAUCCUGAUGUCUUCGGAUGGAUUUGAGUAAGAGCAUAACUGUUCGGACCCGAAAGAUGGUGAACUAUGCGUGGAUAGGGUGAAGCCAGGAGAAAUCCUGGUGGAGGCUCGCAGCGGUUCUGACGUGCAAAUCGAUCGUCAAAUCUGCGCAUGGGGGCGAAAGACUAAUCGA
rnacentral:rRNA from 1 species